UUUUCUUUAUCCCUCUUGUGUGUAUCCGGACACAAGCCUGAUGCUGUACAAUGAAAUCCAAGCCAAGAUCCACCACCACAAAUGACUAGACAGCCGCCGUUGUCGCAUGUGUUUGAGUCUGGUGCUGGUGGUACUGCUGCUGUUCAGUACCGGCGGGCUUACGUCAGAGUCCCUUCACUUUUACUCUUCAUCAUCCUUUUAUUUUCUAUCAUCAUUCUCCAGGUCUUUAAUGUCACACUUGACGGCUAACCUACUUAACAUCUACUAGAACAUCUAGAUUAAAGUUGCAGUGAAUCGAUAACAACCGAUGUACCUUAAUCUUAAGAGUAUUCUCAUACCCAGUAUAUCAUUUAUUUUCAUUGUCUGUUUAUUGGUAUUUUUUUUUUUGGCAUCAGUUCAUAAUCUUCUGCGUAUGACUGUCAUGUAUCAAAUUAAUUAUUACAAGUAAAUUGAUUAAAUAUUUAAAAUAAAUUUAAAUAACAAAUUUGAUCAAUCAUAAAAUAAUAAAUAAAUCCACGAGGAUGUUGAUGAGAAAAAGAAAAAAAAAUGAUUAUUAAUUCUAGUAUCUUAUGAUCAGAUGAUGAAAAAUUUUUUUAUUAUUUUAUCUGUCUUAUUAUAUAAGAAUAAUAAUAAUAAUAAUGACGGCGUUACCUAAUAUUAAGUAUUAUCCAAUAGUAAAAGGAGUUUGUAACUGUAUAUAGGUCAUGAAAAAUAAUUAUUUAAAAUAAUAAUUUUAGCAUGUAAAGACUGUAAUGAAUUUUUUUAUAUGACUUUAUAUGCAUGAGCUUUAAUUUAUAAAAUUUAAUAACUUUGUAUAUUUAUUAUUUUUAAAAAAACUUUUAAUAAUAAAACUUUUUAUCGAUAUGAAAUUGAAAAUGUUAACAAUGAAGAUAACAAACAAAUAAGUUAUUUAGAAACUAACAACAGAUUGUUAGUUUUAAGGCGCGUGGACCUUCAAAGUAAAAAUUCCAUCUAAAGCCAGGCCUAAAAACAUCGGAGUCCGGUAUUUAAAAGCGACAUCUACGUGAAACAACGAUGAGAAUUGAAAGUAAUAAAUUUUUUUUUCUUCAAUGGAUAAGAAAUCGUCACAUUAACUGAGAAAUUAUAAAAAUAAAGUCAUCGUUCGAGCGAUGACGAAAAAAAUCUAUAGAUGCGUGUAUAUGUAAACAUAAAUAAAUAAAAAAACCCCAAGAGAUAAAAUAUAUUCUUAAUACUGUGAUCUCUUAUCGCAGUUCCAAGAAAACUUAUCACAAGAUUGUCUGGUUUUUUGACCAACUUAGAAACCUAAAUAUGAAUAACGCGGAAUUUUAUAUCGAAAUAAUAAUAAAUAUAACCGAUAGACGAACAUUUAUUAGAUAGAUUUAAAAAUAUGUUAUUCAAAAAUUAAAUAAUAAACAGCUAAAUGCGGGAGAUUAACCGUUUAAAUUAUCAACAUAUUGUGCAUUUACUCACCUAUUACAGUGGACAUACUACACUCGGAGGUUAAUGCCAACAAUAACGACUAGAUUAUAUGCAACCACGUUUCCGAUGCGUGUUGAAAAAAGACAAAACCGACGAAAAAAAAAAAUAAAAAUAAAAAAAAUUCCCAGGCCAGGGGCAAUCUGACACGAGAUGAAUUCGCGAGACUCUACCAAGGAAGAUGGACAUAUGUGUGCUAUAUAUUACAAGUAGAAAGAACGAGAUAAAAAGAGAAGGAUGAGCGCACACUUGUCCCUCAACAUGUAUUUUAAUAAUUAUUAUUUUUCAAAAUAUAUAUAUGUAUUAUAAGUUAUAUGACAUUUUUAAGAAAUUAUUUAUCAUAACUAACAUAAGGUACUACUAUUUUACCAUAAUUUCUUGAUAACUCAUAAGACAUGAUAUAAAAUAUAGCUAUUAAAUUUUUAACACUUGAACAUAUGCUUUUGCUAAAAUUAUGUUCGCCGAACGUUGCCAAAGGCUAAUUAUUUUUAUGUAAUACUACUUUUUUUAAUACCCAAUGUACAAUUGUUAUCGGAAUUUGCUAAAUUAAUUACCAAACUUUUAAAUUUUGAAUUCAAAAAAUGAAAAUUAUUUAAAUGUUUAAAUGUCUAAUGAGCGGAUGUUAAUGACUUUUAAAUUAAAUUUUAUUAAUUGUUUUUUAAAAUAUCAUGCAUUAUUAUGAAUCAUGACAGUUGUAAUGGAUUAGUUUGGAUAAGAAAUGAAAUAUAUAAAUAAGUAAUUAGUGAGAUUUAAAUAUAGAUAUAUAUAUAAAUUAAUAUGUAUAAAAUAGACUCACAGUUAAACGAGCACGCUUGACAAUAGUCGUGUGAAUUUACGACGCGUGUGACGUGUGGCUUGAUUGCCACAUGUACACGGACUACGCUCCGAUAAGUACUUAGACGAUCAAGAAGAAGGUCUAGAGGUAUUCGGACUCAUUCGAUGUAGCUCGGGUCUAUACGCUUACUACUGUUACUCUCUACUUAAUCGUAAACUCAUUCACUUUUUUAUUUCUUCUUUAUAUUUUUACUUAUCGAAAAUAUAAAUGCCAGAAUUCAAUUUAAAAUCUACUGAUUUAAAUUUUACUUGCUCUUAUUUAAUUAAUUAAUUAUUUAUUUGUUUGUUUGUUUUUUUUUUUAAACAAAAAAUAAUUAUUUAUUUAUGUAGACUGACAUAAAAAUGAAAUUGAAUAAUACAUUUUGUUGUGAAUAAAUCACAAUUGUAAUUACGAUGAAAUGCGUUUUAUUAAAAGCUACAUGCUAGCAGCAGGUGGAAAAGAUUUCACCACGCGGUAUACAAACUUAACCUCAAAAAUUUAUCAAUUACUAAAUCAUGCUCCAAUUUUCUAGAAAAUUAUUUUAAAUACAAAACAUCUGUCAUAUUUUAAAUUCGAUAUUCGAUGACAUUGUACUGAAAUAAAUUAUUUAAAUGGACUGUGAAUGUCACAAUAUGGAGUAUGAAAAAAUUAAAAUUAACUUUUA